GGCGGGACACGUGGUAUCCUGUCUGAAUAUGGGGGGACCAUCCUCCAAGGCUAAAUACUCCUGACUGACCGAUAGUGAACCAGUACCGUGAGGGAAAGGCGAAAAGAACCCCGGCGAGGGGAGUGAAAAAGAACCUGAAACCGUGUACGUACAAGCAGUGGGAGCACGCUUAGGCGUGUGACUGCGUACCUUUUGUAUAAUGGGUCAGCGACUUAUAUUCUGUAGCAAGGUUAACCGAAUAGGGGAGCCGAAGGGAAACCGAGUCUUAACUGGGCGUUAAGUUGCAGGGUAUAGACCCGAAACCCGGUGAUCUAGCCAUGGGCAGGUUGAAGGUUGGGUAACACUAACUGGAGGACCGAACCGACUAAUGUUGAAAAAUUAGCGGAUGACUUGUGGCUGGGGGUGAAAGGCCAAUCAAACCGGGAGAUAGCUGGUUCUCCCCGAAAGCUAUUUAGGUAGCGCCUCGUGAAUUCAUCUCCGGGGGUAGAGCACUGUUUCGGCAAGGGGGUCAUCCCGACUUACCAACCCGAUGCAAACUGCGAAUACCGGAGAAUGUUAUCACGGGAGACACACGGCGGGUGCUAACGUCCGUCGUGAAGAGGGAAACAACCCAGACCGCCAGCUAAGGUCCCAAAGUCAUGGUUAAGUGGGAAACGAUGUGGGAAGGCCCAGACAGCCAGGAUGUUGGCUUAGAAGCAGCCAUCAUUUAAAGAAAGCGUAAUAGCUCACUGGUCGAGUCGGCCUGCGCGGAAGAUGUAACGGGGCUAAACCAUGCACCGAAGCUGCGGCAGCGACACUGUGUGUUGUUGGGUAGGGGAGCGUUCUGUAAGCCUGCGAAGGUGUGCUGUGAGGCAUGCUGGAGGUAUCAGAAGUGCGAAUGCUGACAUAAGUAACGAUAAAGCGGGUGAAAAGCCCGCUCGCCGGAAGACCAAGGGUUCCUGUCCAACGUUAAUCGGGGCAGGGUGAGUCGACCCCUAAGGCGAGGCCGAAAGGCGUAGUCGAUGGGAAACAGGUUAAUAUUCCUGUACUUGGUGUUACUGCGAAGGGGGGACGGAGAAGGCUAUGUUGGCCGGGCGACGGUUGUCCCGGUUUAAGCGUGUAGGCUGGUUUUCCAGGCAAAUCCGGAAAAUCAAGGCUGAGGCGUGAUGACGAGGCACUACGGUGCUGAAGCAACAAAUGCCCUGCUUCCAGGAAAAGCCUCUAAGCAUCAGGUAACAUCAAAUCGUACCCCAAACCGACACAGGUGGUCAGGUAGAGAAUACCAAGGCGCUUGAGAGAACUCGGGUGAAGGAACUAGGCAAAAUGGUGCCGUAACUUCGGGAGAAGGCACGCUGAUAUGUAGGUGAAGUCCCUCGCGGAUGGAGCUGAAAUCAGUCGAAGAUACCAGCUGGCUGCAACUGUUUAUUAAAAACACAGCACUGUGCAAACACGAAAGUGGACGUAUACGGUGUGACGCCUGCCCGGUGCCGGAAGGUUAAUUGAUGGGGUCAGCGCAAGCGAAGCUCUUGAUCGAAGCCCCGGUAAACGGCGGCCGUAACUAUAACGGUCCUAAGGUAGCGAAAUUCCUUGUCGGGUAAGUUCCGACCUGCACGAAUGGCGUAAUGAUGGCCAGGCUGUCUCCACCCGAGACUCAGUGAAAUUGAACUCGCUGUGAAGAUGCAGUGUACCCGCGGCAAGACGGAAAGACCCCGUGAACCUUUACUAUAGCUUGACACUGAACAUUGAGCCUUGAUGUGUAGGAUAGGUGGGAGGCUUUGAAGUGUGGACGCCAGUCUGCAUGGAGCCGACCUUGAAAUACCACCCUUUAAUGUUU
rnacentral:rRNA from 1 species